rnacentral:rRNA from 1 species
UGCAGCAGGCGCGAAAACUUGGCAAUGCGAGAAAUCGUGACCAGGGAACUCCAAGUGCAUGGGGUAAGACCCAUGCUUUUCUUGACUCUAAAUAGGUCUUGGAAUAAGGGGUGGGUAAGGACGGUGCCAGCCGCCGCGGUAAUACCGGCGCCUCAAGUGGUAGUCGCUUUUAUUGGGCCUAAAACGUCCGUAGCCGGUCUGAUACAUUCGUGGGUAAAUCAACCAGCUUAACUGGUUGAAUUCUGCGAGGACGGUCAGACUUGGGACCGGGAGAGGUGUGGGGUACGCUCAGGGUAGGGGUAAAAUCCUGUCAUCCUGAGCGGACCACCUGUUGCGAAGGCGCCACACUAGAACGGAUCCGACGGUCAGGGACGAAGCCUAGGGGCACGAACCGGAUUAGAUACCCGGGUAGUCCUAGGUGUAAACGCUGUGGACUUGAUGUUGGGGGUGCUCCGAGCACUCUCAGUGUCGAAGCGAAGGUGAUAAGUCCACUGCCUGGGAAGUACGGUCGCAAGGCUGAAACUUAAAGGAAUUGGCGGGGGAGCACCGCAACCUGAGGAUUGUGCGGUUUAAUUGGAUUCAACGCCGGAAAACUCACCAUAGCCGACGGACAAAUGAAGGUCAGUGUAAUGAACUUACCGGAUUGUUCGAGAGGUAGUGCAUGGCCGCCGUCAGUUCGUACCGCAAGGCGUUCUGUUAAGUCAGAUAACGAACGAGACCCUCAUCUCUAUUUUGCUAACUGGAUCUCCGGAUUCAGUGCACUAUAGGGAGACCGCUGGCGCUAAGUC